UAUAGGAGGCCUUACCUGCCCAGUGACUACAAGUUAAACGGCCGCGGUAUUUUGACCGUGCAAAGGUAGCGCAAUCACUUGUCUUUUAAAUGAAGACCUGUAUGAAUGGUUAAACGAGGGCUUAACUGUCUCCCCCUUCAAGUCAAUGAAAUUGAUCUCUCCGUGCAGAAGCGGACAUAAAAAUACAAGACGAGAAGACCCUUUGGAGCUUAAGAUAUAAGAUCACCUAUGUCAAGAAAAUAAAAAAAUAAACAAAAUAGAACCUUGAUCCCUAUCUUCGGUUGGGGCGACCACGGGAGAUAAUAAAGCUCCCACGCGGACUGGGGAAAAUCCCUAAAACUAAGAGAGACAUCUCUAAGUCACAGAAUAUCUGACCACAAGAUCCGGCUACAACGCCGAUCAACGAACCAAGUUACCCUAGGGAUAACAGCGCAAUCCUCUUUGAGAGUUCAUAUCGACAAGGGGGUUUACGACCUCGAUGUUGGAUCAGGACAUCCUAAUGGUGCAGC
rnacentral:rRNA from 1 species